rnacentral:rRNA from 1 species
UAGUGGAGCUAUUUGUCUGGUUAAUUUCGUUAACGAAUGAGACCUCAGCCUGCUAACUAGCUAUGCGAAGGAAUCCCUCCGUAGUUAGCAUCUUAGAGAGACUAUGGCCGUUUAGGCCACGGAAGUUUGAGGCAAUAACA